rnacentral:rRNA from 1 species
GCGUGCUUAACACAUGCAAGUCGAACGAUGAUCUCCCGCUUGCGGGGGUGAUUAGUGGCGAACGGGUGAGUAAUACGUGAGUAACCUGCCCUUGACUCUGGGAUAAGCCUGGGAAACCGGGUCUAAUACUGGAUACUACUUCCUGCCGCAUGGUGGGGGGUGGAAAGGGUUUUACUGGUUUUGGAUGGGCUCACGGCCUAUCAGCUUGUUGGUGGGGUAAUGGCUCACCAAGGCGACGACGGGUAGCCGGCCUGAGAGGGUGACCGGCCACACUGGGACUGAGACACGGCCCAGACUCCUACGGGAGGCAGCAGUGGGGAAUAUUGCACAAUGGGCGGAAGCCUGAUGCAGCGACGCCGCGUGAGGGAUGACGGCCUUCGGGUUGUAAACCUCUUUCAGCAGGGAAGAAGCCACAAGUGACGGUACCUGCAGAAGAAGCGCCGGCUAACUACGUGCCAGCAGCCGCGGUAAUACGUAGGGCGCAAGCGUUGUCCGGAAUUAUUGGGCGUAAAGAGCUCGUAGGCGGUUUGUCGCGUCUGCUGUGAAAGCCCGGGGCUCAACCCCGGGUCUGCAGUGGGUACGGGCAGACUAGAGUGCAGUAGGGGAGACUGGAAUUCCUGGUGUAGCGGUGAAAUGCGCAGAUAUCAGGAGGAACACCGAUGGCGAAGGCAGGUCUCUGGGCUGUUACUGACGCUGAGGAGCGAAAGCAUGGGGAGCGAACAGGAUUAGAUACCCUGGUAGUCCAUGCCGUAAACGUUGGGCACUAGGUGUGGGGGACAUUCCACGUUCUCCGCGCCGUAGCUAACGCAUUAAGUGCCCCGCCUGGGGAGUACGGCCGCAAGGCUAAAACUCAAAGGAAUUGACGGGGGCCCGCACAAGCGGCGGAGCAUGCGGAUUAAUUCGAUGCAACGCGAAGAACCUUACCAAGGCUUGACAUUCACCGGACCGCACUGGAGACAGUGUUUCCCUUCGGGGUCGGUGGACGGGUGGUGCAUGGUUGUCGUCAGCUCGUGUCGUGAGAUGUUGGGUUAAGUCCCGCAACGAGCGCAACCCUCGUUCUAUGUUGCCAGCACGUGAUGGUGGGGACUCAUAGGAGACUGCCGGGGCCAACUCGGAGGAAGGUGGGGAUGACGUCAAAUCAUCAUGCCCCUUAUGUCUUGGGCUUCAC